AUUGAACGCUGGCGGCAGGCCUAACACAUGCAAGUCGAGCGCGCGGCGGACGGGUGAGUAAUGUCUGGGAAACUGUCUGAUGGAGGGGGAUAACUACUGGAAAAGGUAGCUAAUACCGCAUACCAUCAGAUGUGCCCAGAGGGGAUUAGCUGGUAGGUGGGGUAAUGGCUCACCUCGGCGACGAUCCCUAGCUGGUCUGAGAGGAUGACCAGCCACACUGGAACUGAGACACGGUCCAGACUCCUACGGGAGGCAGCAGUGGGGAAUAUUGCACAAUGGGCGCAAGCCUGAUGCAGCCAUGCCGCGUGUGUGAAGAAGGCCUUCGGGUUGUAAAGCACUGUCAGCGGGGAGGCGGUACCCGCAGAAGAAGCACCGGCUAACUCCGUGCCAGCAGCCGCGGUAAUAC
rnacentral:rRNA from 1 species